rnacentral:rRNA from 1 species
CACGUAGGGCGCAAGCGUUGUCCGGAAUUAUUGGGCGUAAAGAGCUCGUAGGCGGUCUGUUGCGUCUGCUGUGAAAACCCGGGGCUUAACCCCUGGCUUGCAGUGGAUACGGACAGACUAGAGGUAGGUAGGGGAGAAUGGAAUUCCCGGUGUAGCGGUGAAAUGCGCAGAUAUCGGGAGGAACACCGGUGGCGAAGGCGGCAUCCUGGACCGACACUGACGCUGAUGAGCGAAAGCCAGGGGAGCAAACGGG